AAGCCACCAUUUUAUGUUCAUCUUUCUUCACCGAAUGUAGAAAAGAAAAACAAGCUUUGAAAGCUUGAAACAUUCGGCCAUUUUGAAGCUUAAUUCAAGAUCAAGAAUUAAAGAAAUCGGAUUUGGAUCGGGGAAAUACAAAAGCGGUCGAGUAGCUGAUUUAACAGUCGACGACAUCCAAGAUUUGGAAGUUGGUUAAGAGCACGGGAAUCGUCAAAGAAGUCUAUCACACUAUCGACUGUUUUCGGUAUUUUUCUAAGUUUGAAUUUAAACUUAUGGCAUGUAUAGUCUAGUUAAUAUGUUUGAUUUUUGGGUAUGUAAAUAUGAGCCAUGCAAAAAAAAAUGGCUUAUUUAUUUUGUUAAGCAUGGUUUUUAUACUUUUGAUCAAGUGAUAGAUAUGUUGAUUUUGGUAUUUCAGCUAAUGCAUAUUUAUUUAUGUGAA